AUUUAGUGAAGUUAAUGAAAAGUGAUUAGAUUUUAUAUGAAGUUCAAAUGUAAAGUUUUAAGAUGUUGGCGGUGUUUUAUUAAAUUCUGAGAAUCUUGCAUAGUUAAAAUGAUAAUACACAAAUAAUCUUAUCUUAUUAAAAAUUUAAAUCAAAUAUUAAGUUUAUUUAUUGCUGUUUAAUUAAUUUAUUAAUAUAGGGUAAUGGUAAUUAAUGAAAUUGUUCAAUAUAUAAGAAAUUCAAGUCAUGAUGUAGUAAUAGUAAGGUUUAUGUGAGUUGCAGUUUUUUAGAAAUAAAAGAAAUUGGUAAAAUAGAAUUGAAAUAUCUAUAAAAAUUAGGAUUAGGAUGUAAAAAAAAAAAAUAAUUAGUUUUUUUGAUAAAUUUUAUAAACAUGU
rnacentral:rRNA from 1 species